CUGUUUUGGCAGCACAUUUACUAAAAUUGGAACCACACAGAGAAUAUUAGCAUGGCCCCUGUGCAAGGAUCACAUGGAAAUACUGCAAGUGGCCCAUAGGUCU